AAUCAAUUGCAAUAUUUUUCCCUUAUAACAACUUUUUACAACUAUUUAACCUUAGGACCAUCUUCAUCUGGUAUUAUUAGUAAGUUUUAAAAUUUUACUCUCUGUUUGUGUAUGCAAUUUUUAUCAAUUCCUGACAAGAAAGGUAUAUGUGGCCCACAUGUGGUCAUAGUGCUUUCGUGUGAAUUUAAAAGUGGACAAAUAUAUUAUAGGUAAUGAAUGACGUAUUUGAAGAAGAUAAGUGUGGCCCACUUGUGGAACACAUAAUGCGGUUCACAUAACUAUUCCACAUAAUUUGGAAUAAUCUUUAAAUAAAUACGUGCUAAAUUUGAUAUGGCUAUCAUAUGGGCCAUAGAUAUAAAACUCACGAUCUUGCCUUAUUUUGAAUUUUAAAUUUUAACCAAUUGUAGUAAUUCUAUCGCAAUGCAUUGUAAACUCUAGAAUAUUCCAUGAUAUCAUGUGGCUUACCGUUUUGAUAAUUUUCAAUUCAUAACUGUUGUAAGUAUGUUUGAGCGAUAAAAGUAAAUAUUUAUAAAUGAAAAAGUGUAAAUAUAUAAAAUAAAAAAUAAAAGCCUAGAAGUGUUAGGACCUUUACUUUUUGUAAUAUACAAUUUGUUAUCAUUACUAAACUAUGUUUUUUUUAAUGUGAUUUUAUGUGUGGUUUAGAUUAUACAACGGAAUAUUGUUAAAAGAAUAAUAUUUAAAACUAUAUUAUUUAUAUACAGGGCUUUAUCAACGGGGAGGGGGGGUAAUGUGCUCCCUCCCUGACAAGAAAGGUAUAUGUGGGCCACUCUUCAGCCAGCUUUCAUUUCUUUAAGCUUAUAAAGUGAUUUUAUUAAAAACAAGCGUAAACAAGUUAAUGAAAAAAAUUUUAAAUAAUUAUUUUAACUGUAAAAACGAAAAUAUUUAUUUAAACAUGGGCUUACACUUAUUGAUUAGAAUCAGCAAAUAUAAGUUUUUAUUUUCUUAAAUUAGAUAAAAUUUUACUAGGUUUUAAUAAUUAAUAUAAAAUUAUUUUAGACAUCAACACCUACUAGCCAACCAUUACUGCCAAUACCACGCCAUGUUGUAAGUAAUAAACAUGUUGCUUAAUAGCAAUACUUUAAGUUAAAAUUUGUUAAAGUUAUUAUUAGAUAUUAAAAUUUGAUCAAUGAUUAGAAUGUUUUUCGAGAGAUCCAACACCAAGGCAAAUCUACUCAAAACUUCGUGUCAUUACCAAAUGAUCCUGAAGAAAUAAAUUUACCUUCAGAGUUCUUGCCAAUCCCUCACACCGAAAACUCCACUCACACCAUUACACCAAUCACACAGUUAGUUGAAUACCGAUUGUCUUCCAUCGAAAACCUACUUAACGAUUUAGUAAAAUCUGUAACUUAUGCGACAAAAGAGAUUAAACAUCUGACAGAGCGUAAGCCAAUUGGUCAUACUGAAGAAAGUUUAUUCAAGAAAUCAAGUAACAUAAAAGAGUUAGAUGCUGUGUUGUUGCAAUAAGGUGGAAAAAUAUAUCUGAUAUGGUACAAAACAUUUUGAAUCUUUUCAUGACUGAUGAGUUACAAAUGAAUUGUUGUCGUUCUGGGAAACGCUCAAACAAAUAUUCAAUUGAGGCUUUUGUAAAGUUUAUUGCAAGUAAGUAAAGUAUUCCAUUAGCUCCUGUUCAAAGGCUUUGCAAAAAUGCUACAGACAAAGAUGUCAAUGAAGCCAUCACCGCUGCACGGCAUAACUCAGCAGAUCGUGGUAAUAGACGUAUGCAUCGAGAAAAUAAUGAAUAAAUAAAUUUAAUGGAAAGUUAUUGUAUACUUAUAUGUUUGUAAAUGAAUUUAUAAAAAAA